GAUGAACGCUGGCGGCGUGCCUAACACAUGCAAGUCGAGCGAUCUUCUUCGGAAGAGAGCGGCGGACGGGUGAGUAACGCGUGGGUAACCUGCCCUGUACACACGGAUAACAUACCGAAAGGUAUGCUAAUACGGGAUAACAUAAGAAAGUCGCAUGGAUUUCUUAUCAAAGCUUUUGCGGUACAGGAUGGACCCGCGUCUGAUUAGCUAGUUGGUGAGGUAACGGCUUACCAAGGCGACGAUCAGUAGCCGACCUGAGAGGGUGAUCGGCCACAUUGGAACUGAGACACGGUCCAAACUCCUACGGGAGGCAGCAGUGGGGAAUAUUGCACAAUGGGCGAAAGCCUGAUGCAGCAACGCCGCGUGAGCGAUGAAGGCCUUCGGGUCGUAAAGCUCUGUCCUCAAGGAAGAUAAUGACGGUACUUGAGGAGGAAGCCCCGGCUAACUACGUGCCAGCAGCCGCGGUAAUACGUAGGGGGCUAGCGUUAUCCGGAAUUACUGGGCGUAAAGGGUGCGUAGGCGGUCUUUCAAGUCAGAAGUGAAAGGCUACGGCUCAACCGUAGUAAGCUUUUGAAACUGUAAGACUUGAGUGCAGGAGAGGAGAGUGGAAUUCCUAGUGUAGCGGUGAAAUGCGUAGAUAUUAGGAGGAACACCAGUUGCGAAGGCGGCUCUCUGGACUG
rnacentral:rRNA from 1 species